rnacentral:lncRNA from 1 species
UGCCUGCUCAAAGCUCGGUGCAGCCCUGUGCCUUGCUGCCUGCUGUGGAUCUCGGAUCAGCUGUGGUGUGGCACUGCUUCGAGGGAGGGCUCAGCUCUGAUCUCAAGCAACAAGAUUGGUGGAGAUAAAGAAGAGCUUCCAAGAGAGUGAAGAGCAUGAAUAAGAAUGUGUUUCGAGAACUCACUGACACAUCCAUUCAAAGGCUGCAGGUCUUGGAGUGCCAAAGUGUUGGCACGCUGCUCUCCUUAAGAGCCUGUGUGAGAAACCGGGCCCGGAGGCUGUGGUAGGGGUGUAGGGGAGGCUGCUGAGAUGACGUGUGAGGGCUGGACACAGACAGCCCUGGGGUGAAGGAGAGGUGUCUUGGGGGAGUGAAAGAAACAUGAGAAUUAUGACUAGGGAUGACUGGAAAGUGAGAUAGCUUGCAUGGGUACAGUACAGAAGUAAUGAGUGGCAUGUUCACAGGGUAGGUCUGUGAUUGGGACUCUAGUGGAUAUAAAAGUCGUAUGGAUAAACCUAUCAUGUAGAAGUAGCCCUUGGCCAGGGUCAGUGCAAGACCCACUAACUGACCCUUCCGGGCUCCAGAGGCAAGGCACACAGUAAUGCAGGGAGGCUGAGCCACGUGCAAGAAAUGUGGUAGUAAAGAGGAGCCCGUGAAGUAGACUCAGAUGGAGUGCUCAGAUGGAGGUGGUCUUUCAAAUCCUGCCUUCCUAGGAAAGCUGGAAAAUGUGGUGAUGGAGGCAUCAGUGAUGCCCUUUCUGAUACUAGUCCCAAGACUCUGUUACUUGAAAAUUCACUAAUAGAGAGAUGGGAGAUAACAUCAAACUCUGAAUGCUGCACAGGAACAAAUCUUCCUUCCCAAGACUGCCAGUCCAGGAACCCAAACUUCUGUGAGUUCAGGUGGGGAAAAAUAUCUUAAAUAGGUCAUAUAUUUAUUGUCACCACUGUACGCCUGUAGAACUCUGUAGAACCACAGGCACCAGGCAGACGGGAAACAUGAAGAGUAUAUGACCUUCUUGCAGGUAUGUCACAGGGAAACAGGAAAUAGGACAGAGCUGCUGUGCUCAAAAUUUGCUGUGAAAGAAGACAA